CAGCCGCCGCGGGAAUACGUAGGGUGCAAGCGUUAAUCGGAAUUACUGGGCGUAAAGCGUGCGCAGGCGGUUAUAUAAGACAGAUGUGAAAUCCCGGGGCUCAACCUGGGAACUGCAUUUGUGACUGUAUAGCUAGAGUACGGCAGAGGGGGAUGGAAUUCCGCGUGUAGCAGUGAAAUGCGUAGAUAUGCGGAGGAACACCGAUGGCGAAGGCAAUCCCCUGGGCCUGUACUGACGCUCAUGCACGAAAGCGUGGGGAGCAAACAGGAUUAGAUACCCCUGUAGUCCCUGUCUCUUAUAC
rnacentral:rRNA from 1 species